CCCGGAACAGUAAGCGCGGACGCCCCGCGGCCUCAAGGGACGCCUCGGAAGUCUCCCCUGCCCUGCGGAGAACCCCAGGACUAAAUCCCUCCCGCCGCCGGGCGCUCCGACGCCUCCGUGCACGCCCGCGCCCCCGCGCGCCCCGCAUCCGCUCGGCCUGCUGCCUGGACCCCGUGGGACCCGGCAGAGGGCACGCGAGUCGGGAGCCUUCGCGGUGGCGCAGAGCGACCGGGCGCCACCUCAGCGCCGCGCACCCGGCGUCCCCGGGGUCCCUCCGCCCGACCCGAGCGCCCCGGCGCCCACGGGCCCACA
rnacentral:lncRNA from 1 species